AAGUCGUAACAAGGUUUCCGUAGGUGAACCUGCGGAAGGAUCAUUACUGAGGGGGGGAUAUGUGGGUUGGGGGGUAUGAUUGCUGGUUGUGGUGUAUGCCGUUGAUCAGCAGGAAGCCGACGCCCAUAUAUCCCGACAUUUGCUCGGGCUGGGAGUGGUUGGAGAGUUGGGGGAAUUGUGCAGCAUGUACAGUGACUUUUAUCUCUAGCCUCGAUCCGCCCAGACAUUCACGAGUGUUGUGUGUGACUGUGUAAUAGUGAUCUACUAUAUAAACAACUUUUAACAAUGGAUCUCUUGGCUCUU
rnacentral:misc_RNA from 1 species